rnacentral:rRNA from 1 species
AGAGUUUGAUCAUGGCUCAGAUUGAACGCUGGCGGCAGGCCUAACACAUGCAAGUCGAGCGGAAACGAGUUAUCUGAACCUUCGGGGGACGAUAACGGCGUCGAGCGGCGGACGGGUGAGUAAUGCCUAGGAAAUUGCCCUGAUGUGGGGGAUAACCAUUGGAAACGAUGGCUAAUACCGCAUGAUGCCUACGGGCCAAAGAGGGGGACCUUCGGGCCUCUCGCGUCAGGAUAUGCCUAGGUGGGAUUAGCUAGUUGGUGAGGUAAGGGCUCACCAAGGCGACGAUCCCUAGCUGGUCUGAGAGGAUGAUCAGCCACACUGGAACUGAGACACGGUCCAGACUCCUACGGGAGGCAGCAGUGGGGAAUAUUGCACAAUGGGCGCAAGCCUGAUGCAGCCAUGCCGCGUGUGUGAAGAAGGCCUUCGGGUUGUAAAGCACUUUCAGUCGUGAGGAAGGUAGUGUAGUUAAUAGCUGCAUUAUUUGACGUUAGCGACAGAAGAAGCACCGGCUAACUCCGUGCCAGCAGCCGCGGUAAUACGGAGGGUGCGAGCGUUAAUCGGAAUUACUGGGCGUAAAGCGCAUGCAGGUGGUUUGUUAAGUCAGAUGUGAAAGCCCGGGGCUCAACCUCGGAAUAGCAUUUGAAACUGGCAGACUAGAGUACUGUAGAGGGGGGUAGAAUUUCAGGUGUAGCGGUGAAAUGCGUAGAGAUCUGAAGGAAUACCGGUGGCGAAGGCGGCCCCCUGGACAGAUACUGACACUCAGAUGCGAAAGCGUGGGGAGCAAACAGGAUUAGAUACCCUGGUAGUCCACGCCGUAAACGAUGUCUACUUGGAGGUUGUGGCCUUGAGCCGUGGCUUUCGGAGCUAACGCGUUAAGUAGACCGCCUGGGGAGUACGGUCGCAAGAUUAAAACUCAAAUGAAUUGACGGGGGCCCGCACAAGCGGUGGAGCAUGUGGUUUAAUUCGAUGCAACGCGAAGAACCUUACCUACUCUUGACAUCCAGAGAACUUUCCAGAGAUGGAUUGGUGCCUUCGGGAACUCUGAGACAGGUGCUGCAUGGCUGUCGUCAGCUCGUGUUGUGAAAUGUUGGGUUAAGUCCCGCAACGAGCGCAACCCUUAUCCUUGUUUGCCAGCGAGUAAUGUCGGGAACUCCAGGGAGACUGCCGGUGAUAAACCGGAGGAAGGUGGGGACGACGUCAAGUCAUCAUGGCCCUUACGAGUAGGGCUACACACGUGCUACAAUGGCGCAUACAGAGGGCGGCCAACUUGCGAAAGUGAGCGAAUCCCAAAAAGUGCGUCGUAGUCCGGAUUGGAGUCUGCAACUCGACUCCAUGAAGUCGGAAUCGCUAGUAAUCGUGGAUCAGAAUGCCACGGUGAAUACGUUCCCGGGCCUUGUACACACCGCCCGUCACACCAUGGGAGUGGGCUGCAAAAGAAGUAGGUAGUUUAACCUUCGGGGGGACGCUUACCACUUUGUGGUUCAUGACUGGGGUGAAGUCGUAACAAGGUAGCGCUAGGGGAACCUGGCGCUGGAUCACCU